rnacentral:lncRNA from 1 species
UGUUUUAAAUUUUUAAAACUUACAGUUUUGAAAACGAAACACAAAACAGAAUUCCAUCAAGAAAUCCCCUGGUGGUCCAGAGGUUAGAAUUCUGCCCUCUCACUGCCGAGGGUGUGGGUUCAAUCCCUGGUUGAGGAACUAAGAUCUUGAAAGCCUGGUGGUGCGAAUAAAAAAAAAAUCAAAAUCUGACUUUUCUAGAGAGAAGGAAGUAGUAAGACAAGACCAGUGGGUCAGAACUGCCCAAAUAAAUAAUUUAAUAAGACAAAGAAGUGUAGAAGCUUGCAUCUCUCUAUUUGUUCAGUUACUAUGUAUCAACUGUAAAUUAUUUUAAAAAAUGUUCUUUUUAGGAUCUUUGAUAAAGAUGUUCUCAGGAAACCACGCACAUAAAAAAAGCUAUACCACAGAGGCAACAGAACUAUCCUGGAUGGGCUUUACAUACAAUUACUUCUGAGGCAGGAAAUGGAAAGGAAAUUCUGCCCAUGAGCAUGGCCAUGAGUGAUUCAGGAGAAAUACAAAUGUCUCUUGUACUUUGCAAGGGAAUCACACUGUAUAUGGAAACAUCCACUCUUGAUAUGAAAUCAGUUUAUUCAACAGAGGAGACCAGAUUUAUUCAUCAGAGAAUCCCAGCCUUCCUGUAAGAACUGGUUUCCUUUUCUCAUGGAGUUUGGCAGAAGCUUGGUUGCAACAUCAGCGAUCUGGCUGAAACAUCAGAAUCUCCUUGGAUGUCAGUUCUCUCUGCUCUGCUCAUUCUUCAACACAUGGAUAAUCUGGGUUUUUUUUUGUUUUGUGUUUUUAGAGGUUUGAGAUUAAGAGUGCAUCACUGAAUAUGCCACCUUUCCUUCUUAAUACCAUAUCUGUUUAAUGCAAUUGGGUGAAAUAGAAGUGCUCAUGUAACAUUCAAUCCCAUUAUU